rnacentral:misc_RNA from 2 species
AAGUCGUAACAAGGUUUCCGUAGGUGAACCUGCGGAAGGAUCAUUAAUGAUUGACCGAAAGGUCUUAUCAACUAUCCAACACCUCUUGUGAACCGUUGACCUCCGGGUCUCAAUUACAAACAUCAGUGUAACGAACGUCUUGUUAUCUUAACAAAAACAAAACUUUCAACAACGGAUCUCUUGGCUCUC